ACAAUUUUCUCAACAUCAUAUUCCAGUUAAUGAUAUCUUCAUGUUUUCUCUCUGCUAAAAUUCUCUUCCCUCUUCUUCCUCGGUUUCAUUCUUCUCGAUAGUAACCUCUUCUUUGUUCUUGAUUUUUAUCACCUUCAUCAAUUCCUCACACUAACAUGAAUUGAUUGAAUUGAUUCUAGUUUGUUUUAGAUUUUUAUCAUCUUCUCAUAACAACAAAUACUCCAAAAGUUCAAAUCAAAACCUAGAACCCAAAAUUUUGAGAGAGUUUGAGAAAAUGGGGUAAACUGAUUGAAUUAAAUUUACAGUCAAUUGGAAACUUACUUCUUCGAUUACAGAAAAGUUGGAAAUCUCAAUUUGGGGUUAGGGUUUCGCAAGUUAUUCUCUCCACUUCAAAGGGCUUCACAAUGCUCAUUGUCUUCUGCUAAAUUGGUACAUACAUGAGGUAAACAAACAAUGUAUAUUGGAUAAUAUGGAUUGAUCUUGGAAAUUGGAUACAAAACUUAUACUGCCCAACAUAAUGGUGCAACAAUCAAUAGUUGCUCAAGAGAAUUUCUCAAUUUUCAAAAUAAUUUGGUGGAAGUGGUUUUCAGUCAUUUCAUUGAGUUAUAAAUUGUUACAAGCUUGAGCCCGAACUGCAGCAGCAAAUGCUAUAUUGCUAUUCGUACAGUGGUCGAUCGUGGUAUAAUAUAUUUGGUUUAUUACUUUUGCUUACUUAUUUGUUAGGGAUAUUAAAUAGAUAUUAAUGCUCCAAGGAGGGAUUAUGAACAUAUCAUUUGUACUUGGAAAUGGGAUUGGAUUGAUAGAUAAUUUUCUUUAAUAGUGGAUUUUUAAUUGGUAA